GACGAACGCUGGCGGCGUGCUUAACACAUGCAAGUCGAGCGGUAAGGCCCUUUCGGGGUACACGAGCGGCGAACGGGUGAGUAACACGUGGGUGACCUGCCCUCAGCUCUGGGAUAAGCCUGGGAAACUGGGUCUAAUACCGGAUAUGACUCCAUGACGCAUGUUGGUGGGGUAGGAAAGCCUUGUGCGGCUGAGGAUGGGCCCGCGGCCUAUCAGC
rnacentral:rRNA from 1 species